GGAUGUGAGGGCAAACUGGCUGCGACAUCUGUCACCCCAUUGAUCGCCAGGGUUGAUUCGACUGACCUGGCUGACUAGGUGGGUGUACCCUUCCCCUUCCUCCCUCACCGCUCCAUGUGUGUCCCUCCCAAAGUUGCGCACUCAGUCGGUCAAAGAGGACGACCAUCCCCGCUAGAAAAGUGGCAAACUGAGGAACGCAGCUGUAGAGGCUGGAAAAAGCAAGACACCAGAUUCUUCCACUACAUGGGAACAUGGCCCACCUUGGU
rnacentral:sRNA from 1 species